rnacentral:lncRNA from 1 species
GGUGUGGGAGGGGGUGAAAAAGUUCAACAUUUCCCAACUUUAUGACCACUGGGCAAUGACCAAUCAUAUCGAGUGGUUCCCAUGACGAAUUUGACACUAUGCGAACCAUCGCUGGAGACUUUCUUCAAUAUCAGCACUGAUCUGAGGACACAUGAUAGGCCAGAUCUCAAAGUGACACAGGAGUGAGGAGGUCCUCACCUGUCAAAACAGGAAAUUCAAAUACAGCUAACCACUGCAAACUUUCAAAUAGGGGAGUUCAAAAGAGAAAAUGCAGCAUUCAGACAAUCUCUCUCCGUGAUUGAAGAGUUGCCACGUUUGCUCCAGGAGGUGAAAAACCUAGAGAGGGAGAGAAUGAGACACACAAUUUCAAAGGACAUCAUGGUUAGUGGAUCCCCAGCCAUCUCCAAAACUCACAAUGACAUCAUGGCUGGACCCUCCAACCCACAAAAGCAGCACUCCAAGACAUAGUCGUCACAACCCUACCAGACAGCAUGGUAGGGUAACUUUAAACCUUGAACUGUAAAGCGGGGAUGCAAACUAGUCACAAUUUGAAUACAAAAGCAGGUGUAUUAACAUUGUAACAAUACAGCAAGCAGAAAAAUACUGUAUGCAUGUGCAGUUUUUCUUAAUUUAUUGUAAAUGUGUAAUGCAUAUUGUAGUACAAUGAUAAUUUGUCUUAAUUUAUAGAGUGCCAUAUAGGAUUAUGCAAAACAUGUUCACAAAACUAUUUCUCGUUAACUACUAAUACUAUCUAACGGAGUACAGCAAGCAAACAACUUGAGUCAUGGCAGAAAGGACUACAAUAAUGGUUUUAUAAUUCAAAUACAUUUACUUACUUAAAGGGGUGGUUCAUCGA